GACGGAGGGUGCAAGCGUUGUUCGGAUUGACUGGGCGUAAAGGGCGUGUAGGCGGUCGGUCAAGUCUGGUGUGAAAGCCCGGGGCUCAGCUCCGGAAGUGCAUCGGAAACUAGCUGGCUGGAGCGCGAUAGAGGAGGGCGGAAUUCCUGGUGUAGCGGUGAAAUGCGUAGAUAUCAGGAGGAACACCGGUGGUGUAAACGGCUUUCUGGACCAUUUCUGACGCUGAGGCACGAAAGCGUGGGUAGCAAACAGG
rnacentral:rRNA from 1 species